GCCUAGGAAGGCUAUGAAUGCAGCCCAACACAGAAUUAUAAACUUACUUACAACUUUUUUUGCUCAUCAGUUUUAGUGUUUGUGUAUUUAACGUGUGGCCCAAGACAACUCUUCUUCUUCCAGUGUGGCCCAGAGAUGCCAAGAGGUUGGACGCCCUGAGCAUUCUGUUCCCAGAGGCACCUGGUUCCUGUGAUUUCAAAUGUAAACUUUCUCCAGAGGGAGAAGAAGGAGGAGGAGAGGAA